GCAGAUGUAUCGAAGUGGUCAUAACGGGGCUGACUCGAAAUCAGUUAGGGAGAAAUCCCCCGUGGGUUCGAAUCCCACCGUCUGCGCCA
rnacentral:tRNA from 1 species